AUUGAACGCUAGCGGAAUGCUUAACACAUGCAAGUCGAACGAGUGGCGGACGGGUGAGUAAUAUUUGGGAAUCUGCCUUAUGGAGGGGGAUAACUACGCGAAACAGUCGCUAAUACCGCAUACCAUAGGAUGGGCCCAAGUCGGAUUAGGUAGUUGGUGGGGUAAAGGCCUACCAAGCUGACGAUCCCUAGCUGGUCUGAGAGGAUGACCAGCCACACCGGGACUGAGACACGGCCCGGACUCCUACGGGAGGCAGCAGUGGGGAAUAUUGGGCAAUGGGGGAAACCUGACGCAGCCAUGCCGCGGGUAUGAUGAAGGCCUUCGGGUUGUAAAGUACUUUCGGCAGGGAGGCGUUAGUUACAGAAUAAGCAACGGCUAACUCCGUGUCAGCAGCCGCGGUAAUAC
rnacentral:rRNA from 1 species